rnacentral:lncRNA from 1 species
ACAUAUGAUUUGAACUUGUUCAUCUCUUAGUAAUUCUUAUAAAUUAUGUCAAAUAUUUUUAAUAUUAAGGACACAAUCUGCUCUAUUUGGAAAAAUAUACCUUUGUCAGUUAAAAGUAAAAACAAGUGAUGCAUAUUCAAAUAAGAUAGAAAAUUCACUUAAUUUAGAGACUUUAGAUUUCAUCUUGUUCUGUAUAGCUUUAUGGAAUAUAUAAUUUUGUAUCAUUGUGCUCAGGGAACUGCAGAAUGCAGAGAGCCAUUCUGAUCUUUUUUUUAACCAAUUACAAUACUUCUGUUGUUCAUGAGCCCAAAAUUUUCUGAGAUAAAUUCUAACCUCUAACAACAUAACCAGGUAAUACAAACACUGAAAGUACACUGAAACAACCAACUCUUCCUGACUCCCCUGCCCCAUGCAUAAUAGAAAGGGAAAUGUUUGUUUUCUAAACUGUACAGACAAAUGCUAUCUCCGACACCGAAAGUCUUCCCUUUUCCUGGUGUGGACACAGUAAGUCAUCCUGAGUCACUUGAGGACUUUAUUUAAAGCAUAGAAUUGUGAGGACAGAUGACUCAGGGGUCUAUGUGGUGUGGCUAGACUUUCUCACUGUCAGGUUACCGGUUCCCACACAACUCACUCCCUAUUAAAUAUUGGGGGAAUCUUUGUUUUCACGAUGGGAGUGCAUUAAAAUCUCAUCUGUUCUGACUAGUGUGCCCUUUACUUGUUAUAAUUGUUAUUAAUACAUUUGUUUCCAUAUGAAGCCUAUUCAAAGAAUUAAGCAGAGGGAAUGGGCCCAGUCAUAGCUCAUGAAUAUAAGAGGGGCUUAGCUUAUUUGUACACAGAUACUGGCUUUUCUCUUCUUCUUUUUUCUUUUGUGUGUGUGUGAGUGAAAUAUUUACAUAACUAGUUACUUGAGCUUGAAUCUUAACACUUUCACUGCCCCAGCAUCAGAAAUGACUAUAUGGCGAUUGAACAAGUUCUGGAUAUGCUGAAAAACCAUAAUUUAUAUGUUUGUAUGACAGCAUAAAUAACUGAUGGGUUCUCCUAGUUAUCACUCACUAAUGCCAAGAUAAUAAGAUAAUUUGUUUAGGGGGUUGGAUAUGAAUCUCAAAAGUCAUUGGCAACCUGGGCCUCAUCAUGAGAUAUGUCUUACAAAUAAAUCCUUUAAUCUAUCUUAUGC